rnacentral:rRNA from 1 species
GCAGCCGCCGCGGUAACACGUAGGUGGCAAGCGUUGUCCGGAAUUAUUGGGCGUAAAGGGCUCGCAGGCGGUUUCUUAAGUCUGAUGUGAAAGCCCCCGGCUCAACCGGGGAGGGUCAUUGGAAACUGGGAAACUUGAGUGCAGAAGAGGAGAGUGGAAUUCCACGUGUAGCGGUGAAAUGCGUAGAGAUGUGGAGGAACACCAGUGGCGAAGGCGACUCUCUGGUCUGUAACUGACGCUGAGGAGCGAAAGCGUGGGAAGUGAACAGGAUUAGAUACCCCUGUAGUCCCUGUCUCUUAUAA